CAAAGCAGCAGUAUCGCCU
rnacentral:miRNA from 1 species